rnacentral:rRNA from 1 species
GACGAACGCUGGCGGCGUGCUUAACACAUGCAAGUCGAACGGAAAGGCCCUGCUUUUGUGGGGUGCUCGAGUGGCGAACGGGUGAGUAACACGUGAGUAACCUGCCCUUGACUUUGGGAUAACUUCAGGUAACUGGGGCUAAUACCGGAUAGGAGCUCCUGCUGCAUGGUGGGGGUUGGAAAGUUUCGGCGGUUGGGGAUGGACUCGCGGCUUAUCAGCUUGUUGGUGGGGUAGUGGCUUACCAAGGCUUUGACGGGUAGCCGGCCUGAGAGGGUGACCGGCCAAAUUGGGACUGAGAUACGGCCCAGAAUCCUACGGGAGGCAGCAGUGGGGAAUAUUGCACAAUGGGCGGAAGCCUGAUGCAGCAACGCCGCGUGCGGGAUGACGGCCUUCGGGUUGUAAACCGCUUUAGCCUGUGACGAAGCGUGAGUGACGGUAAUGGGUAAAGAAGCACCGGCUAACUACGUG